GGUCAUACCCUUAAAUGAGUUUGUUGUUUCUACAGCUUCAAUGAAUUCGAUAAUCAACAGUGAAUUACAUUUGAUCUCAUGAUUGAAAUUUAAAAAAUUCCUUGAGCAUUUAUUUUGAACUUUGUACUUAUGAUAUUGAUGUAGAACCAGGAAAAAUAAAUCAAGAGAAACUAAUUCUAAAAGAAAGAAGCUAGAGAAACAUAUGCUCUAGAGAAACAAAUUCUCAGUUGUUUUAUUUAAAUCUUAAUAAUAAUCAUGAUAUUCAAAGCUAAGAAAAUACCCAAAUUGCAUAGGUAUUUAUAGACUAACAAUCAUAUUAAAAUUGGACUUGAAUAACUCUAAUCAAACACUAAUUAGGAAUUCUAGAUAAAACCAAACUAGAAACAUAAUAAUAAACCUAAUAAUAAUAGAAUUUCUAAAUAACAAAAAUACUACUAAUAAUUCCUAAAAUGUAAAACUCUUAAUUACCUAGUUUUACAAUAACUAUUAUUCCUAAGUUUAAUCCUCUUUCAAUACUACAUUAUUCUCUCCUAGUUGGAGAAAACUUAUCUUUGAUUCAGAGAUGAAGCAACUCAAUCUUCUUCGAUGAUGGCAGAAGGUUGACCUGAAUAAUCCCAUGCUUCCAUUUGCAUCCUUAGAAACAUUUGGAUAGAUAAAAUCAAUCACAAUGGCAAUUGAAACACUUCAAUUCACUAGGAAGAACAAAAUUAGAUAAAUCUUUAAUUUCUAUUGUAGUCUCCAUUGAAGUCUCCAAGGCUUGAUUGGCUUCACUAGCUUCUUGCUCUAGAAUAGAUUCUCCAACAUGUUUUUGUAGAACUAGUUCUUCAACAUGUGAAUGCUUAACAAUCAAAUCUUUGGAUUCUUCGGUGUCAGACUCAAGUGCUCUUUGAAUUCUUCUUCUUGU
rnacentral:misc_RNA from 1 species